AACGAACGCUGGCGGCAUGCCUAACACAUGCAAGUCGAACGAGACUUCGGUCUAGUGGCGGACGGGUGAGUAACGCGUAGGAACCUGCCAAGCAGUGGGGAAUAACAGCUGGAAACGGCUGCUAAUACCGCAUACGCCCUUCGUGGGAAGAUUUAUCGCUGUUUGAGGGUCCUGCGUUCGAUUAGCUAGUUGGUGAGGUAACGGCCCACCAAGGCGACGAUCGAUAGCUGGUCUGAGAGGGAUGAUCAGCCACACUGGGACUGAGACACGGCCCAGACUCCUACGGGAGGCAGCAGUGGGGGAAUAUUGGACAAUGGGGGAAACCCGUGAUCCAGCAAUGCCGCGUGCGUGAAGAAGGCCUUAGGGUUGUAAAGCGCUUUCACCUGUGAUGAUGAUGACAGUAGCAGGAGAAGAAGCCCCGGCUAACUCCGUG
rnacentral:rRNA from 1 species